GAUGAACGCUGGCGGCGUGCCUAAUACAUGCAAGUCGAGCGAACAGAUGAGGAGCUUGCUCCUCUGACGUUAGCGGCGGACGGGUGAGUAACACGUGGAUAACCUACCUAUAAGACUGGGAUAACUUCGGGAAACCGGAGCUAAUACCGGAUAAUAUAUUGAACCGCAUGGUUCAAUAGUGAAAGACGGUUUUGCCGUCACUUAUAGAUGGAUCCGCGCCGCAUUAGCUAGUUGGUAAGGUAACGGCUUACCAAGGCAACGAUUCGUAGCCACCCUGAGAGGGUGCACGGCCAAACUGGAACUGAGACACGGUCCAGACUCCUACGGGAGGCAGCAGUAGGGAAUCUUCCGCAAUGGGCGAAAGCCUGACGGAGCAACGCCGCGUGAGUGAUGAAGGUCUUCUGAUCGUAAAACUCUGUUAUUAGGGAAGAACAAAUGUGUAAGUAACUAUGCACGUCUUGACGGUACCUAAUCAGAAAGCCACGGCUAACUACGUG
rnacentral:rRNA from 1 species